UGGGGAGUGAUAUUCUUUGGAAGGCAUAUUAGGAUUGCCUGGGCAAACAGCACAGGUGCCCCUCACCUUCUGAAAUGCUCUUCUGUGUUGGUCUCUAAUAAACAUCUUGCACCUGUAACUCCACUUCAGCAUCUGCUCCCGGAGAGCCCAGCUGCAACACCAACUUUGACCCAAUACUGGCUGUGUUUCCUGGCUGCCCUACAGCAUGCUAAUCUUGCCCGACAGUCUAGACAGUCCUGCCACUUUCUUGGCAACUCAGUGUACUCUGCUGUGACACUCACCUUGAGGAUUCCCAGAGCAGAUCCCAAGAUACCGGAUAGCAAAAACUAUUUUCAAACCAGUAGGCUUGCAAGCAUUGUUCUAAUACUGAAAGAUUCAUAGUGACCUAUAUUUAUUGGAUAUUUAUCAUGUGGCAGGCACUGUUUAAUGUGAAUUAAUCACAACUGUAUCAUCCAUACUGUUAAAGUUUUUUAGGUGAGGAAACUGAGGCAUGCUUCAGUCACCAGUUGGUGAGUUGGUGGAGCUGGGAUUUAAAUUUAGGCAUCUUCACAGCCCAUGUGUCUUACUCAAUUUUCUCUUACUCAUAUUGAGCUUAAGCUCAAGUUUCUUAUAGUUCUGGAGGCUGAGAAGUCCAAGGUCAAGGAGCCACAUCUGGUAAGAGCCUUCUUCCUGGUGGGGACUUUACAAGGUCCCAAGGCAGUGCAGGGUAUCACAUGUUAAAGGUGUGCAAACGUGCUAGCUCAGGUUUCCCAUUCUCCUCUUCUAAAGACACCAGUUCCCCUCCCAUGAUAAUCCAUUAAUCCAUUAACCCAUUAAUCCAUGAAU
rnacentral:lncRNA from 1 species